AUCACGUCCCGGGAGAACAGGACGCAGCGGGGCCGAGCCGCGUGACUGCCACGUGACCCGGAGCGGCGGAGGCGGAGGCGGAGGCGGAGGCGGAGGGAGCAGGCGCGAGGCCGGGAGCCGCUCCGGGGGCCGAGCCUCUCUGCUGGGAAGGGAUGAGGAGCCAGGAACCUGGAUGCAGCCUCCGUGGUGCCCACAGAGCCCUGCCCUCCUCUCUGCCUCCCCACCACCAUCUCUGCAGAGCCAAGGUGCACCUUCACACUGUUGACAAUGGGGCAGUGAAGACUCAGGACAUGGAGAAUGUUCAAGAGAUAAGCCACAGGCAGCCUCAAUAACUGAAGGUCAAAGGGCAGAGUAAGAGACUGAUCCAUGACCCUGAGGAAUGACACCCACACAGGGAAGGUCUGUGCCCUGGGCUCAGCUUCCCCUGGCUCCCACCAGACUCUGGCCAGGCAGUGUUAGGCUGUCCACACUCAGUCUUCUUCCCUCUUUCUCCUACCCAGCACCCAGACCUCCCAUCCUUCCCCACCACCAGGACUUCCCUAGGCUUCAGUGGAUGGAGCCAUGGAUUUCCCUCCCCUUCUAUUUCAUUAGGACUCAAGCCUGCUGCAAAGCCCUCCUACCUUCCUGCCUGGAUCUCAAGAGCCUAGUGUGGGAAUUAAAAGCCUUAUCUGUUCAAA